GAUGAACGCUGGCGGCGCGCCUAAUACAUGCAAGUCGAGCGAACAGACGAGGAGCUUGCUCCUCUGACGUUAGCGGCGGACGGGUGAGUAACACGUGGAUAACCUACCUAUAAGACUGGGAUAACUUCGGGAAACCGGAGCUAAUACCGGAUAAUAUAUUGAACCGCAUGGUUCAAUAGUGAAAGACGGUUUUGCUGUCACUUAUAGAUGGAUCCGCGCCGCAUUAGCUAGUUGGUAAGGUAACGGCUUACCAAGGCAACGAUGCGUAGCCGACCUGAGAGGGUGAUCGGCCACACUGGAACUGAGACACGGUCCAGACUCCUACGGGAGGCAGCAGUAGGGAAUCUUCCGCAAAGGGCGAAAGCCUGACGGAGCAACGCCGCGUGAGUGAUGAAGGUCUUCGGAUCGUAAAACUCUGUUAUUAGGGAAGAACAAAUGUGUAAGUAACUAUGCACGUCUUGACGGUACCUAAUCAGAAAGCCACGGCUAACUACGUG
rnacentral:rRNA from 1 species